rnacentral:rRNA from 1 species
GAUGAACGCUGGCGGCGUGCCUAAUACAUGCAAGUCGAACGGACAGGCGAUGCUUUUGUUGGGUUCUCGUUUGCCGCACGGGUGAGUAACACGUGUGUAUAAUCCCCUUGUCUUUCGGAUAUCAUCAGGGAACUCGGGCUCUUACCCGAUAGGAUCUCCUGCUGCAUGGUGUGGGAUGGAAAGAUUCGGCUGUUGGGGCUCGACUCGAGGCUUAUCAGCUUGUUGGUGGGGUAGUGGCUUACAAAGCCUGUGACGGGUAGCCGGCCUGGGAGGGGGACCGGGCACAAUGGGACUGAGAGACGGCCCAGACGCCUACGGGAGGCAGCAGUGGGGAAUAUGGCACAAUGGGCGGAAGCCUGAUGCAGCAACGCUGCGAGCGGGAUGACGGCCUUCGGGGUGUAAACCGCUGUCGACGGUGACGAAGCGUGAGUGACGGUAAUGGGUAAAGAAGCACCGGCUAACUACGUG